rnacentral:rRNA from 1 species
AUUGAACGCUGGCGGCAUGCCUUACACAUGCAAGUCGAACGGUAACGGGCCUUCGGGUGCCGACGAGUGGCGAACGGGUGAGUAAUGCAUCGGAACGUACCUUUCAGUGGGGGAUAACGUAGCGAAAGUUACGCUAAUACCGCAUAUUCUGUGAGCAGGAAAGCAGGGGACCGCAAGGCCUUGCGCGAACGGAGCGGCCGAUGGCAGAUUAGGUAGUUGGUGGGGUAAAGGCUCACCAAGCCAACGAUCUGUAGCUGGUCUGAGAGGACGACCAGCCACACUGGGACUGAGACACGGCCCAGACUCCUACGGGAGGCAGCAGUGGGGAAUUUUGGACAAUGGGCGCAAGCCUGAUCCAGCAAUGCCGCGUGCAGGAAGAAGGCCUUCGGGUUGUAAACUGCUUUUGUACGGAACGAAAAGGUCUGGGUUAAUACCCUGGGCUGAUGACGGUACCGUAAGAAUAAGCACCGGCUAACUACGUGCCAGCAGCCGCCGUAACAC